AAACCAACAGGGAUUGCCCUAGUAACGGCGAGUGAAGCGGCAACAGCUCAAAUUUGAAAUCUGGCCUCGGCCCGAGUUGUAAUUUGCAGAGGAUGNUUCUGGCGCGGUGCCUUCCGAGUUCCCUGGAACGGGACGCCAAAGAGGGUGAGAGCCCCGUAUGGUCGGACACCAAGCCUGUGUGAAGCUCCUUCGACGAGUCGAGUAGUUUGGGAAUGCUGCUCUAAAUGGGAGGUAAAUCUCUUCUAAAGCUAAAUACCGGCCAGAGACCGAUAGCGCACAAGUAGAGUGAUCGAAAGAUGAAAAGCACCUUGAAAAGGGGGUUAAAUAGUACGUGAAAUUGUUGAAAGGGAAGCACUUAUGACCAGACUUGGGCCGGGCGGCUCAUCAGGGGUUCUCCCCUGUGCACUCCGCCCGGCACAGGCCAGCAUCGGUUCUCGUGGGGGGAUAAGACCAUCCGGAACGUAGCACCCUCCGGGGUGUGUUAUAGCCCGGCGGACGAUACCCCCGUGGGGACCGAGGUCCGCGCUCCGCAAGGAUGCUGGCGUAAUGGUUAUCAGUGAC
rnacentral:rRNA from 1 species